GCCGCCCCCGCUUCCGCCUCCGCCACCCCCGCCCGGCCCGGCGCAGCGGGGCCUCGGUGCUCCCGCGGGGCGCCCGCUCUCCGGCCUCCCCAGCCAGGCCACGGGCGCUGGCCGGCUCCCGGGCGCCUGCGGGACACCCCCCCAGCCCCCGCCUGCCCCCCCUGUCCCCCCCCCCCCCCCCCCCGGCCUCGGCCCCGGCCCCGGCCCUGGCGUUCCAGUUGCUUUCUUCUGAUUAUUUGUUCAACAGCUGCUGCAGAGUCUGGGCCUCAGCUCCGUGUGGACCCGAGCGCAACCCUUCGUUCUUCGGCCUCUUCCAUUAACAAGCCCGACCAGCUCGUGGCCCCUCAGUUUGACCUCGCAGCUUACUCACCCACCUGUAAUCCCUGAUUAUCGCUGGGGCUCCGUGCCACCUGCUUCACCACUCACAAAGUGGACCCCCUGCAGGUCCCCUUGUCUAUGCAAAAGGAAGUCAUCCAGGUGCCUCAGAAGUGGGACUGCAGUGCUUGCCAUCAUUUGGUUAAGGAAAGCCAAGCAGGUCCUCAUGGUAGUGGAUUUUAAGAGACAAAUAAAAUGACCUUUUGCUCUUUUGUGC